rnacentral:rRNA from 1 species
CCCUUAGAGUUUGAUCCUGGCUCAGAAUGAACGCUGGCGGCGUGCUUUACACAUGCAAGUCGAGCGAGGCGUGGAGCAAUCCACAGUCGAGCGGCGAACGGGUGAGUAACGCGUGGAUGACCUGCCCUUCAGCGGGGAAUAACCCGGGGAAACUCGGGCUAAUACCGCAUACGACCGAGAGGUGAAAGGGGCCCGCAAGGGUCUCACUGAAGGAGGGGUCCGCGUUCGAUUAGCUAGUUGGUAGGGUGAUGGCCUACCAAGGCGACGAUCGAUAGCCGGCCUGAGAGGGUGAUCGGCCACACUGGAACUGAGACACGGUCCAGACUCCUACGGGAGGCAGCAGUGGGGAAUUUUGCGCAAUGGGCGGAAGCCUGACGCAGCAACGCCGCGUGGAGGAUGAAGGUCUUUGGAUUGUAAACUCCUGUCAGCAGGGAAAAAGGGACUGGGCCUCAUACGUCCGGAACUUGAUUGUACCUGCAGAGGAAGCCCCGGCUAACUCUGUGCCAGCAGCCGCGGUAAUACAGAGGGGGCAAGCGUUAUUCGGAAUUAUUGGGCGUAAAGGGCGCGUAGGCGGCUUUGCAAGUGACGGGUGAAAUCCCUCGGCUUAACCGAGGAACUGCCUGUCAGACUGUGAGGCUUGAGACCGGAAGAGGAGAGUGGAAUUCCUGGUGUAGCGGUGGAAUGCGCAGAUA